GAUGAACGCUGGCGGCGUGCCUAAUACAUGCAAGUCGAGCGAACAGACGAGGAGCUUGCUCCUCUGACGUUAGCGGCGGACGGGUGAGUAACACGUGGAUAACCUACCUAUAAGACUGGGAUAACUUCGGGAAACCGGAGCUAAUACCGUAUAAUAUAUUGAACCGCAUGGUUCAAUAGUGAAAUACGGUUUUGCUGUCACUUAUAGAUGGAUCCGCGCCGCAUUAGCUAGUUGGUAAGGUAACGGCUUACCAAGGCAACGAUGCGUAGCCGACCUGAGAGGGUGAUCGGCCACCCUGGAACUGAGACACGGUCCAGACUCCUACGGGAGGCAGCAGUAGGGAAUCUUCCGCAAUGGGCGAAAGCCUGACGGAGCAACGCCGCGUGAGUGAUGAAGGUCUUCGGAUCGUAAAACUCUGUUAUUAGGGAAGAACAAAUGUGUAAGUAACUAUGCACGUCUUGACGGUACCUAAUCAGAAAGCCACGGCUAACUACGUG
rnacentral:rRNA from 1 species